AAGUGAAUCCCUGGUUCAAAAUUGCUUUUUUAUUUAGAAAGAAAAGUGAUUAUUGGCCUUGAAAUGGAGAGUGGGAGGAUUAGGAAAAAUAUAUUGCAGCCUGGGGAAGUGUGAAGUACUUUAUUUUGACAGAAGGAAUAAAGAAGCAGAUCACUGAUACUUUGGAAGAAUCUCACGAGAUACCAGUUUAUUCCAGUUUCUGGUGCAGCAGGACAUCUGACAGAACAGCUCAGACAACUGAUUUUUCACCUUUAACUACAUGUUCAUUCUAUUAAAUUUACAAGAUGUCAAAUCAUGAAUGGACACAAAUAUUAACUGGGUUUGGCAAAGGCUGCAGCACCCACACAAUUCUCACUGACCAGGCCAAGGAAAUGACCGUUGUCAGGGACCAACCUUACAGCACAAAUGUUGCAAAGGAGAUGCAGCCUGUGAGCCACUUUGGUACUAGAGCCAUGCAUCGAAGUACAUUGACACUGGGAAAAAAACCCGCAGUAUCAGAUUAUACAAGCUCCUAUAAGCAAGUAAG